rnacentral:rRNA from 1 species
UACGUAGGGUCCGAGCGUUGUCCGGAAUUAUUGGGCGUAAAGGGCUCGUAGGCGGUCCGUCACGUCGGGAGUGAAAACUCAGGGCUCAACCCUGAGCGUGCUUCCGAUACGGGCGGACUAGAGGUAUGCAGGGGAGAACGGAAUUCCUGGUGUAGCGGUGGAAUGCGCAGAGAUCCGGAGGAACACCAGAGGCGAAGGCGGCCUACUGGGUCAGUACUGACGCUGAGCCGCGAAAGCCAGGGGAGCGAACGGG